rnacentral:rRNA from 1 species
AUUGAACGCUGGCGGCAGGCCUAACACAUGCAAGUCGAGCGGUAGGGAGAAGCUUGCUUCGCUUGAGAGCGGCGGACGGGUGAGUAAUGCCUAGGAAUCUGCCUGGUAGUGGGGGAUAACGUUCGGAAACGGACGCUAAUACCGCAUACGUCCUACGGGAGAAAGCAGGGGACCUUCGGGCCUGGCGCUAUCAGAUGAGCCUAGGUCGGAUUAGCUAGUUGGUGGGGUAAUGGCUCACCAAGGCGACGAUCCGUAACUGGUCUGAGAGGAUGAUCAGUCACACUGGGACUGAGACACGGUCCAGACUCCUACGGGAGGCAGCAGUGGGGAAUAUUGGACAAUGGGCGAAAGCCUGAUCCAGCCAUGCCGCGUGUGUGAAGAAGGUCUUCGGAUUGUAAAGCACUUUAAGUUGGGAGGAAGGGCAGUAAAUUAAUACUUUGCUGUUUUGACGUUACCGACAGAAUAAGCACCGGCUAACUCUGUGCCAGCCGCCGCAGUAA